GUGGGGAAUCUUGCGCAAUGGGCGAAAGCCUGACGCAGCGACGCCGCGUGAGUGAUGAAGGCCUUCGGGUUGUAAAGCUCUGUGGGGAGAGAAGAAUAAGUGCAGGCUAAUACCCUGCAUGAUGACGGUAUCUCCUUAGCAAGCACCGGCUAACUCUGUGCCAGCAGCCGCGGUAAGACAGAGGGUGCAAACGUUGUUCGGAAUUACUGGGCGUAAAGCGAGUGUAGGCGGUUCGAUAAGUCGGAUGUGAAAGCCCCGGGCUCAACCCGGGAAGUGCACUCGAUACUGUCGAGCUAGAGUAUCGGAGAGGUUGGUGGAAUUCUCGGUGUAGAGGUGAAAUUCGUAGAUAUCGAGAGGAACACCGGUGGCGAAGGCGGCCAACUGGACGAAUACUGACGCUGAGACUCGAAAGCGUGGGGAGCAAACAGGAUUAGAAACCCCUGUAGUCC
rnacentral:rRNA from 1 species